rnacentral:rRNA from 1 species
UACGUAGGGGUCAGCGUUAAUCGGAAUUACCGGGCGUAAAGCGCGCGUAGGUGGUUCGUUAAGUUGGAUGUGAAAUCCCCGGGCUCAACCUGGGAACUGCAUUCAAAACUGACGAGCUAGAGUAUGGUAGAGGGUGGUGGAAUUUCCUGUGUAGCGGUGAAAUGCGUAGAUAUAGGAAGGAACACCAGUGGCGAAGGCGACCACCUGGACUGAUACUGACACUGAGGUGCGAAAGCGUGGGGAGCAAACAGG